AUAGAGCAACAGCUUCUAUACAGUUUUAAGUGGGCCCCGGUAACCUUCUCGCCUCGCCAAAGAUGAGGAAGUUUAUCGGGGUUUUUGCUU
rfam:Yersinia pestis CO92 plasmid pCD1